rnacentral:lncRNA from 1 species
AUGAUUUACUCUGCAAUCCAGUGUGUCUUGCAUUCUGCACAGGAUCUAAUUACAUUAAAGUAUUUAAUUUUGCUUUUAUAUCUAACAUGAAUUGUGUUUGUUGCCAGAAUACAGAAACUGUAAAUGUGAAGAGUGCAGGAGAAGAAAAAGAGUUGAAAGAUGGAAAACAAGCAGGGGAGAGGAAUCAAAAAGACAGAGCAAGAAGACAGAGCUUACCUGCUGGGAAGUCCCGGGUGGAGAACCUGCAGUCUCAGUUCUGUCAAUACGAGGAGAGCCAAGCCCUGGUGGAACAUAUCCUGCACCACUGGGACCGGCGCCGGGGAUUGUUGUUGGUCCCACUCCCCACUGAAGAUGCUUUAGGGUCAGCUGAAGUUAUAACAGAGAAGCAGGUGUGUUAGGUGGCCAACACACCUGGUGGUCCUCCACCAGUGGCCCUCCAAUCCCUCCUUUUUUUUAACUUAAAUGUAAGACUGCUUGGAAAAUUGGAAAGGUGUGCUAUAUUUCUUUAUCCUUGUUUGAAUCCAAAAUAUUUUUUCCAUCUACACAGUCCUCUGCUGAUAAGAAGAGCAGGAGAGUCUGUAACAAGCUCAUAUCACCUUUGCACAGUCAAAUAGCGGGACUGUCAGAAGCAGAGAAGGCAGAAGACAAGGCAUCUCCUCUGGACAUUCCAUAUAUUGUGUUAAAUGUAACAGAAAAAGACUACAUGAGCAUCAUAAGCAGCUCUUUGCCUCCCCUAGAUGAGGUAUGGCAAACAUUUCACAGAUCUUUCAUUUUUAUAAAAUUAUUAAUUAUGUUUCUGUUGAAAAUUUUCCCUCAUGGAAUUGUUCUUUAUGGAAUUGUUUAAGAUGAACUCCUAAUCUAUUUUCUUCUCUGCUUUGGUCUCAUUAGGUGUUGGAUGAUUUAGGGAUAGGUCCUAGUGGCCCUCCAAUCCCUCCUCCUGUCACCUUCUCUGUCGUUCCUUUUCCCAAAAAAAGAGAGCAAGCUAAACUAGAACAGACCUGUUUCACCUUCCUGAUUCCUUCACGGCUGGAUGAAAAGAACAAGGACAAGAAAGAGGACGAGCUUCAAGCAUCCGUUGUAAAGUUAGCGGUAAUGUCUAUACAAAAAAACCAUUUGAGGCAAAAUCUGAAAUAUAAGCAACUUGGACCUCAUGUCCAUUUAACCCACACAAGCUUAUUCUGGUGUUAAAAGCAUGAAAUUUUAGAUUUUCAAGUCAGAACACUGUU